rnacentral:rRNA from 1 species
UACGUAGGGGGCAAGCGUUGUCCGGAUUUAUUGGGCGUAAAGAGCGUGUAGGCGGUCAGGUAGGUCCGUUGUGAAAACUCGAGGCUCAACCUCGAGACGCCGAUGGAAACCAUCUGACUAGAGUCCGGAAGAGGAGAGUGGAAUUCCUGGUGUAGCGGUGAAAUGCGUAGAUAUCAGGAGGAAUACCGAUGGCGAAGGCAGGUCUCUGGGCUGACACUGACGCUCAUGCACGAAAGCGUGGGGAGCAAACAGG